rnacentral:rRNA from 1 species
AUUGAACGCUGGCGGCAGGCCUAAUACAUGCAAGUCGAGCGCCCCUUCGGGGGAGCGGCGGACGGGUGAGUAACGCGUGGGAACGUGCCCUUUGGUACGGAACAACUGAGGGAAACUUCAGCUAAUACCGUAUGUGCCCUUCGGGGGAAAGAUUUAUCGCCAUUGGAGCGGCCCGCGUUGGAUUAGGUAGUUGGUGGGGUAAAGGCCCACCAAGCCUACGAUCCAUAGCUGGUCUGAGAGGAUGAUCAGCCACACUGGGACUGAGACACGGCCCAGACUCCUACGGGAGGCAGCAGUAGGGAAUCUUGCGCAAUGGGCGAAAGCCUGACGCAGCCAUGCCGCGUGUAUGAUGAAGGUCUUAGGAUUGUAAAAUACUUUCACCGGGGAAGAUAAUGACGGUACCCGGAGAAGAAGCCCCGGCUAACUUCGUGCCAGCCGCCGCAGUAA